rnacentral:rRNA from 1 species
UACAGAGGUCCCAAGCGUUGUUCGGAUUCAUUGGGCGUAAAGGGUGUGUAGGUGGCGCCGUAAGUCGGGUGUGAAAUCUCGGGGCUUAACUCCGAAACUGCAUUCGAUACUGCGGUGCUUGAGGACUGGAGAGGAGACUGGAAUUCAUGGUGUAGCAGUGAAAUGCGUAGAGAUCAUGAGGAAGACCAGUGGCGAAGGCGGGUCUCUGGGCUGAAACUGACGCUCAUGCACGAAAGCGUGGGGAGCAAACAGG